rnacentral:lncRNA from 1 species
AAAAAAUCUUCUAGAAUUCUUAGUCAUAUCUAUAUUCAACCGUGAAAAUGAGGCCAACCAUUUCUUUUAUCAUGUACCAUCCAAAUUGAUGGCCUUCAUAACUGUUUUCUAUAUUUAGUUCAUUUUCAUAAUUUUAAGUGACAUAAUUGCCCUUCCUUCAUAACACUAUAAAUUCAUUUACCUUCAUUCCUCUCCACCGCAUUCUAAGCCACCACACGGAGAAAAUGUCUAAGGUCAUCGCACUUUGUGUAAUAACCCUCCUUCUAUUUCUAACGUUGUCCCAUAUCUGUGCCCGACCAGAGCCAACAUUUCAUGACAUCACUCCCAUGGAAACUCAUAAAGAGGUAAGUAUUUAAACGAGUUUUUCUUCUAUCAUUUUCGUUUUAUUUAUAAAUUUAUGAAUCCUAUAGCGAUAUUUGAUUAUUGAUUAUUUUAUUUACUUGUACUAAUUAGGACCAUGAAGAACAUCUGACAGAUAUGGAUCAAAAGAGCUGUGAUGGAAUUGGAGAAGAUGAAUGCAUGAUGAGAAGAACCCUUGAAGCUCAUCUUGAUUAUAUCUAUACGCAGAAACAAAACCAACCAUAAGAUUUUCUUUCUUCUUUUCGACGAGUUAUACAUACAUAUACACGUGCGCACGUGCACAUAUAUAUGUACGUAUAACGUAUGCUUGAUCUGUUGUGCCAUAUGUAUUUCUAUUUAAAUUAUAUUUAUCAGAGUAUCUAUCAGCUGUGAAUUAUUUGCCAUUAUAUGCCCCGCGCUAUAUACGAAUAUAUCUAUAAAUAUUUCAUCAGCACAUUCAUUGUGUUUCUCUUGUUGUAUACUUUUUUGCUUUAUUUAUCAUUUCGUGUUUGAAUGAUUUUAGUUAGAUAAUUUGUUUUUCAUUCAUUAAUAAUUAAAGUGUAGACGGUUAAGAAGGCAAUAUAUAGGCUACAAAAAAUUAUGUGCCCGGUGAAACUUGGCUUGUUUAGAUGAGUUAAAUAGAUAAGCUAGCAGGAUUUCAAAUACAUCGAAUUAAAAUCAUUUUUCGAAUACGAUAAAUAAUCGAAACUUAGAAAACUUGUCCUUGUUAUGAUAUUAUAUUGCGUUUUUAUAAUCAAGUACAUGCAUAACUAUGUGUUUUAGUAACCAAUCACGAUUUCUCUUAACCACCAAAUUUGGAAUUUUUUUAGGGGUUAAUCAUCAAAGUUUGUCGAAUGAGAUCAAAAUCAUAAAUCCAAGCAAAAGAUUGGUUUACUCAAGGACCAAUCUCAUACUUAAAUGAAUCACACCUCGGUACGGCGUUGAUCAAAUUAAACUACUUAAUUUUCUUGUGAAAGUGUAUUAAAAUGCUUAUAAUUGAUUCAGCCGGACUCAGUGCCAGGCUCAAAAAUAGGGGGGCUAAGGUGGCAUCACCUCAGCCCUCAAUUUCACAUCUUUUUUUUUUUUUUCCAGCUCCAAGAGUCGAGGUGUUGCCGCCUCGGCACCUAGAUUUAGCCCUGUAUUUUGACCUGUUCAAGCAGGUUAAUGCUAAUUGAUUUGGACAGUUGGACCCACAUGUCAUCUUUUAUGAAGAAGCAAUUAUUUUCACUUGGCAUGGAUUGUUACCAAGAGUAGAGUAUGUGUGGAUCACAAGGCUCCACUUGGAGACAUCUUCAUUACUAAAUGAGACCAAAUUAUGGGCAUUACCAGCAAGUUUACAUGUAGCCCUUUGAUGUCAUCACAAGCUCCGUAAUCGAAGAUAUGACUCGGUUGGGGUAAUGAAUGAAAUAUGUCUUUAGACACUCAUUAAUUUUACAACGGUCAAUUGCUAAAUAACUGCAAUCAUGCUAUAUAUUCAGGUUGAAAUUCAAACUCAAAUUCAGAUGAAACACGUGUUGAUGUAUGAUUGGACAGCUUGAAAAAUUAAAACAAAAACACUCAAUUAUUUGCUGACACAUCAAUCUAUCUCUUUCCUUCUUUUUUUAAAUUUGGACAAGUGGCUCUAUUCAAAUAAUUGAGUCUGAAAUGCAAG